CGCCUCUUGAUAAACAUAAGAGGUCCAGCCUGCCCAGUGACAAUGUUCAACGGCCGCGGUACCCUAACCGUGCAAAGGUAGCAUAAUCACUUGUUCUUUAAAUGAGGACUUGUAUCAAUGGCAUCACGAGGGUUGUACUGUCUCCUUUUUCCAAUCAGUGAAACUGAUCUCCCCGUGAAGAAGCUGGGAUUUUAAUAUAAGACGAGAAGACCCCAUGGAGCUUUAAAUUGCGUACUUACUUUAUGUAAAAACACCAAUAAAACCUAAAAAACUUAAGUACAAUUUUAGGUUGGGGCGACCACGGAGUAUAAUAUAACCUCCGCAACAAACAGGCCACACCUUUAUCUACGAGCCACACCUCUAAGAAUUAACAUAUUAAUGUUUAAUGACCCGAAUAUUCGAUCAAUGAACCAAGUUACCCUGGGGAUAACAGCGCAAUCUAUUUCAAGAGUCCUUAUCGACAAGUAGGUUUACGACCUCGAUGUUGGAUCAGGGUAUCCAAGUGGUGCAGCCGCUACUAACGGUUCGUUUGUUCAACGACUAAAACCCU
rnacentral:rRNA from 1 species